rnacentral:rRNA from 1 species
GGACUACUGGGGUUUCUAAUCCCGUUCGCUCCCCUGGCUUUCGCACCUCAGCGUCAGUCACCUCCCAGGACACUGCCUUCGCCUUUGGUAUUCCUCCGGAUAUCUACGCAUUUCACCACUCCACCCGGAAUUCUAUGUCCCUCUGAGGUCCUCGAGUCCCACCGUCUUCCCGGCACUCUGCUCGUUAAGCGGGCAGCUGGCACCGGAAACGCGUGGAACCGCCUGCGUGCGCUUUACGCCCAGUAACUCCGGACAACGCUUGCCCCCUACGUAUUACCGCGGCUGCUGGCAC